rnacentral:misc_RNA from 1 species
UCUCCUUUUUUUAACCCGCGGAGGGAUCAUUACAGAGUUUUUAACUCCCAAACCCAUGUGAACUUACCAUUGUUGCCUCGGCGGAGCCUACCCUGUAGCUACCCUGUAGGGUGGUUACCCUGUAGCGCCCCGCCGGUGGAUUUUCAAACUCUUGUUAUUUUUAGUAAUCUGAGCGUCUUAUUUUAAAUAAGUCAAAACUUUCAACAACGGAUCUCUUGGUACUGGCAUCGAUAAAGAACGCAGC